UACCUGACUAAGAAGCACCGGCUAAAUACGUGCCAGCAGCCGCGGUAAUACGUAUGGUGCAAGCGUUAUCCGGAUUUACUGGGUGUAAAGGGAGCGUAGGUGGCAAGGCAAGCCAGAAGUGAAAACCCGGGGCUCAACCGCGGGAUUGCUUUUGGAACUGUCAUGCUAGAGUGCAGGAGGGGUGAGCGGAAUUCCUAGUGUAGCGGUGAAAUGCGUAGAUAUUAGGAGGAACACCGGAGGCGAAGGCGGCUCACUGGACUGUAACUGACACUGAGGCUCGAAAGCGUGGGGAGCAAACAGGAUUAGAUACCCUGGUAGUCCACGCGGUAAACGAUGAAUACUAGAUGUCGGGUAGCAAAGCUACUCGGUGUCGUCGCAAACGCAAUAAGUAUUCCACCUGGGGAGUACGUUCGCAAGAAUGAAACUCAAAGGAAUUGACGGGGACCCGCACAAGCGGUGGAGCAUGUGGUUUAGUAAUGCUUCUAGCCCUUCGGGGGAAUGGAGACAGGUGGUGCAUGGUUGUCGUCAGCUCGUGUCGUGAGAUGUUGGGUUAAGUCCCGCAACGAGCGCAACCCUUAUUGUCAGUAGCCAGCAGGUGAAGCUGGGCACUCUGAUGAGACUGCCGGGGAUAACCCGGAGGAAGGUGGGGAUGACGUCAAAUCAUCAUGCCCCUUAUGAGCAGGGCUACACACGUGCUACAAUGGCGUAAACAGAGGGAAGCGAAGGAGUGAUCUGGAGCAAAUCUCAAAAAUAACGUCUCAGUUCGGAUUGUAGUCUGCAACUCGACUACAUGAAGCUGGAAUCGCUAGUAAUCGCAGAUCAGAAUGCUGCGGUG
rnacentral:rRNA from 1 species